CGAGUGGCGAACGGGUGAGUAACACGUGGGUGAUCUGCCUUGCACUUCGGGAUAAGCUUGGGAAACUGGGUCUAAUACCGGAUAGGACAGCUGUUUAGUGUCAGUUGUGGAAAGUUUUUUCGGUGCAAGAUGAGCUCGCGGCCUAUCAGCUUGUUGGUGGGGUAAUGGCCUACCAAGGCGUCGACGGGUAGCCGGCCUGAGAGGGUGUACGGCCACAUUGGGACUGAGAUACGGCCCAGACUCCUACGGGAGGCAGCAGUGGGGAAUAUUGCACAAUGGGCGGAAGCCUGAUGCAGCGACGCCGCGUGGGGGAUGAAGGCCUUCGGGUUGUAAACUCCUUUCGACAGGGACGAAGCUUUUGUGACGGUACCUGUAUAAGAAGCACCGGCUAACUACGUGCCAGCAGCCGCGGUAAUACGUAGGGUGCGAGCGUUGUCCGGAAUUACUGGGCGUAAAGAGCUCGUAGGUGGUUUGUCGCGUCGUCUGUGAAAUUCCGGGGCUUAACUCCGGGCGUGCAGGCGAUACGGGCUGACUUGAGUGCUGUAGGGGAGACUGGAAUUCCUGGUGUAGCGGUGAAAUGCGCAGAUAUCAGGAGGAACACCGAUGGCGAAGGCAGGUCUCUGGGCAGUAACUGACGCUGAGGAGCGAAAGCAUGGGUAGCGAACAGGAUUAGAUACCCUGGUAGUCCAUGCCGUAAACGGUGGGCGCUAGGUGUAGGGGGCUUCCACGUCUUCUGUGCCGUAGCUAACGCAUUAAGCGCCCCGCCUGGGGAGUACG
rnacentral:rRNA from 1 species